rnacentral:rRNA from 1 species
UCAUAUGCUUGUCUCAAAGAUUAAGCCAUGCAUGUCUCAGUACAAGCCAAAUUAAGGUGAAACCGCGAAAGGCUCAUUAAAUCAGUUAUGGUUCCUUAGAUCGUACCCACAUUUACUUGGAUAACUGUGGUAAUUCUAGAGCUAAUACAUGCAAACAGAGCUCCGACCGGAGACGGAAGGAGCGCUUUUAUUAGAUCAAAACCAAUCGGUGGCGGGUCUCCCGUCACCGUACACCUUGGUGACUCUGAAUAACUUAUUGCUGAUCGCACGGUCUCGCACCGGCGACGCAUCUUUCAAAUGUCUGCCUUAUCAACUGUCGAUGGUAGGUUCUGCGCCUACCAUGGUUGUAACGGGUAACGGGGAAUCAGGGUUCGAUUCCGGAGAGGGAGCCUGAGAAACGGCUACCACAUCCAAGGAAGGCAGCAGGCGCGCAAAUUACCCACUCCCGGCACGGGGAGGUAGUGACGAAAAAUAACGAUACGGGACUCAUCCGAGGCCCCGUAAUCGGAAUGAGUACACUCUAAACCCUUUAACGAGGAUCAAUUGGAGGGCAAGUCUGGUGCCAGCAGCCGCGGUAAUUCCAGCUCCAAUAGCGUAUAUUAAAGUUGUUGCGGUUAAAAAGCUCGUAGUCGAAUUUGUGUCCCGCGCCGCCGGUUCAUCGCUCGCGGUGUUAACUGGCGUGUCCGCGGGACGUCCUGCCGGUGGGCUUAGCCCCCCGUGGGCGGCCCAAUCUCAAUCCCACCGCGGUGCUCUUCACUGAGUGUCGAGGUGGGCCGGCACGUUUACUUUGAACAAAUUAGAGUGCUUAAAGCAGGCUAAAACAUCGCCUAAAUACUGUGUGCAUGGAAUAAUGGAAUAGGACCUCGGUUCUAUUUUGUUGGUUUUCGGAACCCCGAGGUAAUGAUUAAUAGGAACGGAUGGGGGCAUUCGUAUUGCGACGUUAGAG